ensembl:lncRNA
UUCUUCAUUUUAUAAUAAAAUAUUUUAUUUUUGUACUUGUUACACCUUAUUAGUCCUUUACACAGCUGCACAGCAUGAUAACACUGUUAACAUGGUGUCAUCAGUAUAAAAAGAAAAUGUUGAAACACUGCAAACACACACAAUUUACAUCCUACAGGACAACUGCUAUUUUAAUGGCAGGACACUGUAUGUGAUGAUUGGCUUGUUUGUCCAGGUAGCGGAUGUUAUAAAUGGUGGUGGUAAAAACUGUAUGCAGACAAAAAAAAGCAUACAUAUACAAAUUGAAAAUAAGUUGCAAAAGGCAUGACAAUAUCAUAAGAGUCCGUUCCACCAGUGUUGUUUUUCUCACUUGUGUAGAGCUCUAACAGAAGACCAAAGGAUGGGAUAUGUGCUAUGUAAACAAGAAGCUAGGACAUUAUUUAUAUCCAACAUUAUAAUAUUGUGGCCUCCUAUAACAGAAUCAGCGGAUAAACUGGAUGACGAUAAAAACUAACUGGGUUGUAGCUAUUAGGGUCCUCUAAAAGGACCAAAAGGGUCAAGUCCAACAAAUCCAGGGAGGAAUGGAUGGGAAUGCCAAAGAAAGCACUGGGUUUAGUCUGUCAGAAGGUUUCAGAUUAAAGAAGAGUAUCGUGGCCAGAUAAGCAGACAAAGGACAGAUCACUUUUUUAAAAAAUCGCUGGUAACCGUACAGCUUCUCUCAGCAGAAGACAUAGCUUGAGGUCAUCUUUCCAAAGAGCAUAUGUUGUUUAUCAGUUCGCUCAUCCUAGUUUUUCCUGUUCUUCCAGUUUGCAUUGCAUUUUACAUCUGAAAGCACAUCAUUUGGUCAAAUCCCUGGGCCGCUUGCCUUGGAGCAUUUUUCCACUGAAACGUGUUUUCACUUAUUUCUGAGCUGUAGAAGGUUCAUGCUCUCUGCCUUUCUUCCCUCACCAGCAUUUUUUUCACUCUUGUCUGCUUUGUCAUACACUAUAAACAAACACCAAAGUUUGUCAUUUAUGAAGAGAAACAGAAACAGUCUAACACUUAACAAGUUCGCUGCUUUUGGCCACCUUAAAGGAAUAGUUUGAUUUUGUCACAUACAUUGUUCCUGGAGUAUGUUUAGAGGAAGAUGAAUACCUCUUCGAUAUCUGCACAUCCAAACGUACAAAAACUGAAUAUAAGCAGAAACUUUAUUGCCUGGCUCUGUCUGGAGCACCGCUAAAGGCAAAUCCACAUAUAAAGUUUUUCAAGUGGCGAAAACCCUCUUUUUAUGUUUUUGUUCUUUGACGCACAUAGUGAAGCAUAUUUUUGUACAGACGGCUAUAAAGAUGUAACAAAUCUUCAAUAUUUAUAUAACACUAUAUGUAGAAAAGUACUUGCCCACCUACACAUUACAUCUGGACGACCUGCUCAGCCAAUGAGACCUAUGACACGAAGCUCUUGGCGCACAGUUACGGUGCUGAUGUUAACAACAGAGGAGGUUUGGAGUUUUUGUUACACCAAUUUCAGUUGAUUGUAGUGGGAAGAAAUUUUAUGAAGUGAUUUGUUGUACGGUGGCAUCAUAUCCUCAAAAUCAGAGAACUCAUUACAAAGACCCAUUCUUUCACAAAUGCUUGUGAAGGCAGACUGUGUGGCUAUUUUUCAGCUAUUUCACCUGUCGCAAUUGGACUGAAGACAAAUGAAUUCAAAGAUUAAUACUGUUCUCUUUACACAUAGUUGUAGUUGUGGCCUUUUAGCUUUUUUUCAGGAAUUACUGAUCAGAAUUCCACUGCCAGCUUUCUGGUUUCACUUUGACAAGUAAAUUUCCCAAAUAAAACUAAAAAAAAUCUACAUAAAAACACGCUCGUCUUGAGUUAAUAUGUUAAAGCCAACCUGACAGACUCUGUCAGAAACUGAGAAGCGUACAUCUGAAAAUGCUGAACUAUCCUUUUAAUGUAGGAUAAUAUCCAAAUAUACAUAAUUGGUUUAUUGGUGUUGCUUUUAAAUUGUAAAAGCGAAUCAUUGCAGACCUACAUUUCAAAGAGCAUUUAAUAUUAAAAUAGCACCAUUUACUAAAAAAGUUGCUUUCUCAGUAUCUCUCUGAGAAUCCCUACUGUAAAGAGAAAAAUCUUCCCUACCAGACAUCAGUUUAGCUAUAUACAUACAAUACAUACAUAUUCACAUGUAUUUAUGUUCUUCCCUUUUAAGAAUGGACAGGUAGGCAUGAUGAAAAGAGCCCAUACUAAAUAAAAAUACUACUUGAUGCAGUUCAUCUGUCAAAAUUUCAAGUAACAGGAUGCGGUCUACUUUUCCUUGCAGGGAAAUGUCCGAUGAAUAAGCAGCAGACGCAUCCCCUGAUGUCACAACAAGCUCACCCUGUCAAGAGAAGGCACUGAGGGCGGAGGAAGAAGCAUCAGCACCUCUGCCCUCGCACAGGCAGAGACGGACGCAGACUUUUUGUGGAGAGACGUAUGCUGUGAGACAGUCCAGUUUAAGCAGUGCAAUCCAGGCUCUGAGAAUUGUGGCAAAGAAAAGAUGACAGUCUUGACGGGGAGCUUGACGUUGAGAAACACAGGUGCGUUUCUGUGAAGGGUGAGAGGAGUGUCUGUAUGAAAGUUACAAACAAAACAAAAUAUACAGUAUGGUACACACUCAAAACUAUAUAGUUACUAUAUUUUGCCUUUGAAUGUAUUAUCUCUAAUGAUUGAGCACAUGCUCUUGAUUCAGCAAAAUGAAUUUAACAUUAAGUUUUAGGAAAUGUCUUAUUUCUCUGUGAUUCAUGUGCAAUAUGCUGUGAGUGCACUGGUGAGCCAGGCUUUAAUAGUUUGGAAUUGUUGGAAAUAUGUAAAUUUGGUUUUUGGGGACAGAUGAAAAGACUGAUAUCGAUCUUAUUUCACCAUAUGAAGCUGAAUCCAGCAGCCACUUAACUGCUCCUAUACUAGUAAUAGUGCUGUACUCAACCACUCAUAAAAACAAAGAAAACAGUCCGAUGUUUUACAUUUUGUUUUAGUCUGCACUAAUUUAAAAAGAAUAUAAAAAGCAUACAUUAAAAAAUGCUGAACAAGUUGUUGAAAAUCAUUUAAAUCCUGAGUGAUUUUAAUUUCUUCCACAUCUGCAGAGAGCCAGUAACCCAUGGGUCAUUGAAAAUGGAAAAGCAAAAUGGAAAAGUAUGACGUCAUUUAUCAUUAUCUACUGUACUUUAUCUACUGCACGCUCAGUUUCUUCCCAUCUACGGUGCGGUUUACACCAACCUAGGCAAUCUGCUCUGGUAAUCAAUCAAUUCGUUUGGAGUAUUAAACCCCCCUUGUCAUUUACUUGCCCUUUAUCUUUUUUAUCUUUUGUUUUCCUGCUCUUAUGUACAAAAUAGAUAAUAAUCAGCUUCCUGAAUUCUCGUUAUCUAAAUUUUCUUUACUGAAAAAGAUAAAUUACAAUAAGUUAAGAAUUAACUGUUGCUGUUCUUAAAUGUAUGAGAAAUUACAUUUCUUUUCUUACUUGAUCACCAUUCUUAAGAACUAUAUCGAGGAGUAUUGUUAAAAGGAGUAUUGUUUGCUUUCAGGAGCAAAGUGAAGGAGGAGAUGAAAGCAGCACAGCGGGAGGUGAAACGCUGCCUGAGGGAAGCAAAGGACACCUACAGGAGGAAGGUGGAGCAGAAGUUGGAGAGGAACAAUAUGAGGGAGGUCUGGAAUGGUGUGAAAACCAUCACAGGCCACAACACCAAGAAAAGCACAGUGGGGGGGACUGUGGAGAAGGCAAACGAACUCAACAACUUCUUCAACAGGUUUGACCAGCCCACAACCCCCCCACCCUCACCCUCACCUUCACUACAGAGUCC